ensembl:ncRNA lncRNA:CR45311 long non-coding RNA:CR45311
CUCUGUUGAUUUUAAUGCUCAAAGCGGCACAUUUGCUGCGCCACAUUAAGAAACUAGAAUUUGCCUUAAAGAGUGGAGCAGUGUGAGGAGCCAGGAAAGGGUUACGAUUACGAUAGCGUAGUGGGAAAACCGCUCACGAGCAUUACAAGGAACUGCCGCCCGGAAAAGCUGGAUCCUGAAAUCAAAACAACAUUUUUAUGGCAAUCCUAAAAAACGUAAAACAUGAACAUAACUAAGUUAAAUCAACAAACACUUUAAAGUGAGUCGAGGCAUCUUUUUAUGUAAAUGAGGACGGUAAUGUCAGCUAAAUAAGGAUAAGUUGCAGAAAUUCCCAAUCGAUUUAAUUUGAUAUAUUCAAAAAUUUACUCUUAGCAAAAUCAGCUUUUAUUAUUGAUAAAUUACCAAAAUAUAUCAAAUGGUAGAUUGUCUCUAGUGUGAAGUGUUAUCUUAUUUCCUUUUUUAAUGGGCUGGAAUAUAAAUAGUUAAGAAGCACCCAAUUUAAAUAUUUUAGAGAAUGGAAAAUAUAUCUUGUCGCUGGAUUAAAACGUUUUGGUUGUUAUGACCAACGUGUGAGAAAUAGAGUGGAAGAACAGACCCCUCAGGAUUAUCAUCAUUAUUCCGAGGAGACAAAAAGGAGAAGGGAGAGUAUUUCAGAGACAAACGAAAUACCCAAGGAGUGAACCAUCCAAAAGAACGAAGGCAGAAAGAAGAGAAGAACUGAAGUAGGAAUACGAUAUUUAAAGAAUCGACAAUACGAUAUCCACUAAUAUUCUAGAUCUCUUAGAUGAAUUAGUUAAAAUAUAAUGCAUAGAAAAUCAACCCAAAAUGCCUAUAUCAAUAACAUUUCCUCUGAUUAACUUGACACUUUUAGAGAUCAGCUUUAUAUCGUUUAUGACCAGAAACUUAUAUUUAACAUCUAAGAGCCCAUUACUGCUAACACUGAGCCAUAAAACUGAUACCAAACGCUUAUAGAGGGACAUGAAAAUUAUAAUUAUUGGCUAUCUUAAGGGCACGACUAUUAUAAAUUUGAAGAGGCUCUGAAACGCCCUGUAUUGAUAUGCUAAAUAAAUAUUUAAAUCGAUAUUGACUGUUUGUUUGUAUCCGAAAUCCAUAUGCCCCUUACUGCCGCAAAUAGGAGGUAUGAAAACAGUUGGAAAAAAUAUGAUCAAGGAAUGUAGACAUAACUUGACAGCGUGCUUAGAGAAUUUCUACUCGGGCCUGAGGACAGAGUCGCGAUCUGAGAAGACUUCGCUCCGAAGACUCGGGAGAAUCGGGAAGACGCGGCUACGGCAGAACGAAGAUAACAACAACUUCAGCCCGCUGCAUUCUUCAGUGUCUGCGUGAGAGAGAGAGAGAGAACGAGAGAAGGAGAGAGAGAGAGUGAGUAAACAGGUAAAAGAUACAACCUGGUUUUGACUCAGAAUUGGGCUCACGAUUUUCGGUUGCAGUUUAAUUUAAUAAAGUGAGAGCAUGUUCGGGCCUAAUUGAAUUUGCAGUGUUGGCGCACUGAUCGAACCAGAAAUCGUCGGUAUAAUACGCCAGCAAACAAAACAUAAAAACCAAUGGAUGAAAUUUCCAUUCGAAACCGCACAAUGCACAAGUUAAUUAUGCGCCAAUCGAAUUUGAUGUCUUUUUGAAAAAGCAUUUAAGUUGGAUUUUGUUUGUGAAUCGAACACUAUCAGUGGAGCGCCAUCAAUUGGGAAUUUCGCCGCUAAAAGUCGUCUCGGCACCAUUUUGAUUUGUUGCUAUUUGUGUGGCUUUUUAUUUGCCAAAUGCCCCGCAGUAAUGUGUCUGUUGAAAUCGUCAGUUUAAGUCAAAUUAAUUAACAUUAAUUUUUGUGGCUCGUUUCGAGGCAUGAAAACAACCGGGUGGCUGCGCUCAGCUCAGCUCAGCUCUUUUCUUUGGAUGUGUGUAAAAUUAAUGUCUGUUUUGAUGAUAAAUUGGAACUCGUUGAAGCUAUGUUUUAUAGAUUUCAUUUCCAACUGGCUCUUGCCAAUAUGGUGGGAACCAACGAACCGCUGGUGGUCGCGUUAUAGUUAUUUUGUGGCCAGCGCCGUGCCCAGAGGUUAAUCGAAUUAAACAAAUACCUGACAGAGAGCUGAACUCUUUGAAAAAUGAUCUAUUAUGAAACGAGCGUAUAACUGUGCCCUGUCUUCUCUGAUUGCCUGCUGAUGGCUGCCUCGGCCAAGUUCGUUGCCUAAGUCUUUCGUUGUGGGAAACACACACAUGCGUACGCAAGAGACACUUUGCGGCGGCACAGCUCUCGUUUUAAUUAUUUGCAGGCUGCGUAUAAAUUUCAGACGAAACGAACAGCCAAAGAACCUCCAAAAAAUAAAGCAAAGAAACGGGGAAACACACUGAAAUGAAAACUAAUUUAAAGUCGAGUUAACGGUUUGGAAAUGAAAAAUGAAUCGGUCAGAGGUGAGCAGAUAGUGAAAAAAUAUUGUUGAAUGUAGUAUGUGGCGCUCAUUAAAUUGUAAUGUGUUGAGAUUAUAUAUUAAAAGUAUAAUUUUCGUUAAUGUAUUUUAAAAAAGAUAAUAAACUAAAGUUUACAUACUGUAAUAGCUUGUGAUAAUUUAUAUAUAUUAUAUAUAAAAGACCACUUUAAAUUUAUUUUUUGCCCGGUGCAGAAACUGAAACGGAAAGCAUUUGGCGAAGUUUGUUAAGCGCAAAUUCCUCGGAUGUUUGCAGUGCGCAACAAUUUGGAACAUUUUGUUGAACACAAGAGGAGCAAACAGAGAGCAGCCAGCGGAAAAAUGAAGUAAAAAAAAGCGUCGGACGUCGCCUUGUGGUCAACGAAAGUGAACUGUGAAGGACAUGAAACACGGGCUGAUACUCCGCCGCCUCCUUUCGCUCCCAUUGGACUGGACAAUCGGAAACUAGAUGGAACUCGAGUGUUAGCUGCCUUUGUUUGCUCUGCUAGAUUCCAGACCACUCAUCCUAGACCCAGACGCUGGCGUCGUCGCUGACGAUGACGACUUGGACGACCUCAAGAGGCAGGAACUCACUCACUGCACCCAGUAUCUGCUGUAUCUGCUUUAUCUCCUGGCACCUCGCCCUGGGAUAUCGUCACGGGCCGUCAGCGCCUCCAUCCACACAGGUCCUAGUCCCAGCCGCACUUGAGCUCGGCAUCAACCGCAUCAUCCAGAGUCAUAGUCACAGUCGCAGUCACAUCCAUAUCCACAUCGCCAUCAUCGCCACUUGCCACGGACUGUGCCUGCGACCUCGACUGUCGCGCCAUCAACUUGGAUUGGGUCUGUUCAAGCAUCUCCGCAGACGGCAGGGCACAGUGGUUCCAGGGAUAUUAGUUUUUACACAUGACUGCCAUUAAAUCUCACAUAAGGAUUCAAACUACUACUUGCCCAGUUUGACAAAAUGAUGUUAUAUAUCAUAUUGUAAGCCAUUAAUGUAAUAUACCAUAGAAAUGAAGCCACUGUUUCGGGUCAGAAUCAGAUUUGCAGCCAGACUCAGGGUCUGUGGCUUAGUACUAGGUGCCAGGGCCUGACCUGAGUUAAACAAAUUCAUUAAAAACUCGUCACUUUGCGCAGAUCACGCUGACUUGGCACAUCUUGGCUGGGGGCCCAUCCAUCCGCCAUCCAUUCUCGAUCCUCGUUCUCUGGCUGCAGUCCUCCACAUUCAUGCUGCAUCCUCGUGUUGAGCACCAAGUGUGUUGGUUUUUGGCUCUGGCCUGUGUUUCUGGCCAAUGAAGUGCCGGCCACGUUGUUCAAUUUUGC